UUUGCGGUACAUCUAGUUUCUAUAGUUUCUGACUUAGAAAUGUGUUUCUAAAGUGUUGCGUCUCGUUAUUCGCGAUGAUGAGCGAUAAUGCUUUUCUUUGAGCGCGAAUCGGACAGAGAUCGGGACUUUUCUCUCAGGUCUGUUGUCAUUGAUGACCGUUCCUGUCCUUGUCGGGGGGCAGGAGGAGAGAAGCAUUGUCAGAGUGAU